rnacentral:rRNA from 1 species
CCUACGGGAGGCAGCAGUAAGGAAUAUUGGUCAAUGGACGAAAGUCUGAACCAGCCAUGCCGCGUGAAGGAUUAAGGCCCUCUGGGUUGUAAACUUCUUUUAUCUGGGACGAAAAAAGGGUAUUCUUACUCACUUGACGGUACCAGAGGAAUAAGCACCGGCUAACUCCGUGCCAGCAGCCGCGGUAAUACGGAGGGUGCAAGCGUUAUCCGGAUUUACUGGGUUUAAAGGGUGCGUAGGUGGGCUUGUAAGUCAGUGGUGAAAUCUCCGGGCUUAACCCGGAAACUGCCAUUGAUACUAUAGGUCUUGAAUUAUCUGGAGGUAAGCGGAAUAUGUCAUGUAGCGGUGAAAUGCUUAGAUAUGACAUAGAACACCAAUUGCGAAGGCAGCUUACUACGGAUACAUUGACACUGAGGCACGAAAGCGUGGGGAUCAAACAGGAUUAGAUACCCUGGUAGUCCACGCCCUAAACGAUGGAUACUCGACAUCAGCGAUACACUGUUGGUGUCUGGGCGAAGCAUUAAGUAUCCACCUGGGAAGUACGAUCGCAAGAUUGAACUUAAAGGAAUUGACGG